AUUGAGCUGGUGGCUGUGGUCCAAAGUCAGCAGCUAGAACAGCGACUCUGCAGCUGCUCUCUUCACCCGCUGCUUCCAUCCUCGUUCCCCGAUAUGGAAAACUGAUAUACCUGUCUCUGCUCACGGUGUUUCUGCUCCUGUACUUCUGCAACUAAAGUCUUCACUCUUUUACUUGUGUAUUGGAGUUUCAUCUUCGCCGACACAUGACUUCACUCUAUUCCACUGCAUAUUUCUCCAGAAUCGAACCCGUGAUCCAAUGCUUCGAGACUUUAAGGAUCUCUGCCAGGCUGAUUCAAAGCCAUUUACCACUCAGUGGAUGACUCUAUUUCCAACCAGUGAUGUACUCAAAACAAGGAAAUUUGAAGCUACUCUAUUGACCUGCUUGCUUUUUGAUCCUCAUUUGAAGGUAUGGAUUGUGUCUGCGUCAGCUCUUGCCAGUUGCCAUGGAUGGGCCUUCAUCUAUUUUCCUUUAUGUGGCAGACUAUAAGAAAUCCACCAAAUAUGUAUCUUUUAUGCCCCUCUCCAAUUCCCUUGGUCUAAUACUGAUGCAACUCCACACAGGUCCUCCUAUUGCUUCCCUAAGUCGACGAAUUUAUAUAUGCGACAAAUUAGAUUAAAUCCUUAACAGCUCUUGAUUAAGAUUUACCACCUUUAUUUACUCGAGAAUGCCAGGAGAAUUGUUGCCAAAAGUUAUAUUGUCUCUCCAUGCCAGGAUUAAUGAGGGGUUUCCUUUAAAAAAUGAUAAAACUGGUGUGCUUGCCUGCUUGGAUGUUAAUUUAGUAUUUAAUUAACAUCCAAUCCAGAUAUUGUGCAAAGAAGUUGUGGCUCUCAGUUACCCGACCUUAGUGCCAGCAUAUUGGGAACGGGUCUCUGUCCUCGUGUAUGAAAUUUUGCAGUCUGCUGCUGUUGAAGUUCCUCCAACGACAUGGAAGGCUUCAGUUAGAGAGUCUAUUAGAUAUAUUGGGGAUAAAAUCCUACAGCUGCAAUUAAGGUAGGAUAUCAAAUAACCGUGUUCUAUAUAUUCGAUAUUGAAAACAUCUUCUAUAUUCCCUAGCUUCUUUACCAUA